rnacentral:rRNA from 1 species
GAUAAACGCUGGCGGCGUGCCUAAUACAUGCAAGUCGAGCGAACGGACGAGAAGCUUGCUUCUCUGAUGUUAGCGGCGGACGGGUGAGUAACACGUGGAUAACCUACCUAUAAGACUGGGAUAACUUCGGGAAACCGGAGCUAAUACCGGAUAAUAUUUUGAACCGCAUGGUUCAAAAGUGAAAGACGGUCUUGCUGUCACUUAUAGAUGGAUCCGCGCUGCAUUAGCUAGUUGGUAAGGUAACGGCUUACCAAGGCAACGAUGCAUAGCCGACCUGAGAGGGUGAUCGGCCACACUGGAACUGAGACACGGUCCAGACUCCUACGGGAGGCAGCAGUAGGGAAUCUUCCGCAAUGGGCGAAAGCCUGACGGAGCAACGCCGCGUGAGUGAUGAAGGUCUUCGGAUCGUAAAACUCUGUUAUUAGGGAAGAACAUAUGUGUAAGUAACUGUGCACAUCUUGACGGUACCUAAUCAGAAAGCCACGGCUAACUACGUGCCAGCAGCCGCGGUAAUACGUAGGUGGCAAGCGUUAUCCGGAAUUAUUGGGCGUAAAGCGCGCGUAGGCGGUUUUUUAAGUCUGAUGUGAAAGCCCACGGCUCAACCGUGGAGGGUCAUUGGAAACUGGAAAACUUGAGUGCAGAAGAGGAAAGUGGAACUCCAUGUGUAGCGGUGAAAUGCGCAGAGAUAUGGAGGAACACCAGUGGCGAAGGCGACUUUCUGGUCUGUAACUGACGCUGAUGUGCGAAAGCGUGGGGAUCAAACAGGAUUAGAUACCCUGGUAGUCCACGCCGUAAACGAUGAGUGCUAAGUGUUAGGGGGUUUCCGCCCCUUAGUGCUGCAGCUAACGCAUUAAGCACUCCGCCUGGGGAGUACGACCGCAAGGUUGAAACUCAAAGGAAUUGACGGGGACCCGCACAAGCGGUGGAGCAUGUGGUUUAAUUCGAAGCAACGCGAAGAACCUUACCAAAUCUUGACAUCCUUUGACAACUCUAGAGAUAGAGCCUUCCCCUUCGGGGGACAAAGUGACAGGUGGUGCAUGGUUGUCGUCAGCUCGUGUCGUGAGAUGUUGGGUUAAGUCCCGCAACGAGCGCAACCCUUAAGCUUAGUUGCCAUCAUUAAGUUGGGCACUCUAAGUUGACUGCCGGUGACAAACCGGAGGAAGGUGGGGAUGACGUCAAAUCAUCAUGCCCCUUAUGAUUUGGGCUACACACGUGCUACAAUGGACAAUACAAAGGGCAGCGAAACCGCGAGGUCAAGCAAAUCCCAUAAAGUUGUUCUCAGUUCGGAUUGUAGUCUGCAACUCGACUACAUGAAGCUGGAAUCGCUAGUAAUCGUAGAUCAGCAUGCUACGGUGAAUACGUUCCCGGGUCU